rnacentral:lncRNA from 1 species
CUGGAAAGGCAAGAGCAUCUCGGUCCAAGAUGCUAGAUACUCCGCGCAUGUGGAGAAGCUAAUUGGCUAGUCCAAAUGAGCUUAUCCUCUCCUGAUUGACCUCACAUGCUUUAGUCCUCUCCUUGAUUUCGAAAACCCUUGUAUGCUCACUCUAUAUAUUGUAACUCAUCAACACUAAUAAAGAUUAUGCAGUUUGAGUCUCUCUAAUCUCUUAGACACUAUGGUUCUCUCUUAGACUCUAAACGGCUCUCAAGUUACUUAGUCUUUCAUAAUCACUUCUAAACUUCACCUAAACUCUCACUUACAUUCUAGU